UUUGCCUCAGCAUGCGAAUAAAUUUCACCUGGUCCGAACAUACUGCGUUAAUUCUGUGCCUCUGCUGCCUCACUGGAGUGACAAGCUAACCUUACUCUACAAGAUGUGGAGAUGUCUGCAAACAAAGUUGCAACUGAAGACUACAGCAUGUUAACAGUACUGGACUGGACUGUACUGGAAACAUCUCAUUGUACAACCAACAACAAGGACAUGCCCAAAGAGGUUCACCUAUUUAAACAAGUGAGGAUCGACAGCAGACGGCAUGAU